rnacentral:rRNA from 1 species
UACGUAGGGGGCAAGCGUGUCCGGAAUCAUUGGGCGUAAAGCGCGUGUAGGCGGCCCGAUAAGUCCGCUGUGAAAGUCCAGGCUCAACCCUGGGAUGCCGGUGGAUACUGUCGGGCUCGAGUCCGGAAGAGGCGAGUGGAAUUCCUGGUGUAGCGGUGAAAUGCGCAGAUAUCAGGAGGAACACCAAUGGCGAAGGCAGCUCGCUGGGACGUGACUGACGCUGAGACGCGAAAGCGUGGGGAGCAAACAGG